rnacentral:tRNA from 1 species
GCGGGCGUAGCUCAGUUGGUAGAGCAGUGGUCUCCAAAACCAAAGGUCGAGAGUUCGAAUCUUUCCGCCCGCGCAA